AUUCCAGCUCCAAUAGCGUAUAUUAAAGUUGUUGCGGUUAAAAAGCUCGUAGUUGGAUUUCUGCCGAGGAUGACCGGUCCGCCCUGUGGGUGUGCAUCUGGCUCAGCCUUGGCAUCUUCCUGAAGAACGUAGCUGCGCUUGACUGUGUGGUGCGGUAUUUAGGACAUCUACUCUGAUAAAAUCAGAGUGCUUAAAACAAGCCUUUAAGCUUGUAUAUUUGUGCAUAGUAUAGCAAAAUAUGACCUAAGCUAAUAAAGAUGGUGAUUAGCCGUGGUAAUGAUUAAAAGGGAUUGUCGGAGGCAUUUGUAUUUGAAAGUGAGAGGUGAAAUUCUAUGAUCUUCCAAAGACAAACUAGCGCGAAAGCAUUUGCCAAGUAUGUUUUCAUUG
rnacentral:rRNA from 1 species